UCGAGCGUGCGGAAAUCGGUAAUACUGUUAAUGUUAGCACUUUACUUUAGUGUAAUUGUACGUGGUGAAAACGUUAGUACUGCAGCACCGGCACCACAUCCUUUAUCUUCUAUCGAUGUUAGACCUUCAGGAGCUAUUGCAAGUUUUCUUAAAAUGCUCGUUGACAUACCGUUGGCUUUAGUGGAAGCAUUUAGAGAUGGUGCUGAAGGAAUUGAAAAAAUUGUACUCGGCUCGCUUAGAACAUUUUUUUAAGCAACAGACACAUAACCAGUGAAGGACAAGAAAAAUUGUACAGGCUUACAGUGGAAAUGAACCCUCAUUUCCACUGUAAGCCUGUAAAAGUGAUGUAAAUCCAACAAUAUUGUGAACGCCUACCCACCUUGUAAUUUGCUUAUACAGAUGAACUUUAUUCACACUGUUUAAAUUAAAAGCUUCUGAAGAUUGUUUGUAGUAUAAGUUGGUAAUAAACAGUUUAAGGCUUUAUUUUUAUGUAAUAACGUGUUUGAAUUUUGAAACACAAAAAUUAGUGCAUAUAUUUAGGGUCAAAUGAUGCGAUAGCUUAUCACAAUAUUUUUGCAAUUCUAUUGAGAUUUAAACUUAACGCUUUUUUUUAUUUCACUGCCAUCUUUUAAGAAAGAAUCGCACUAACGCCUUAUUUCUCACCAAACAGCGCCACCUAUUGAUGUAAUGUAAACAAAUGUAAUUUAAGUUGCAAAGUUACGUUGAUAGAUGGCGUCUUAAACUCAACUUACUAUUAAAAACCUCGUAAAGGAACACGCACACUGGCCCGCGCCGGAUGCACUGUAC